UACGUAGGUGGCGAGCGUUGUCCGGACUCACUGGGCGUAAAGGGCGCGCAGGCGGUAGCGUGCGUCGGUGCUGAAAGCGCCCCGCUUAACGGGGCGAGGCGUGCCGAUACGACGCGACUGGAGGCAGGCAGAGGGUGGCGGAAUUCCGGGUGUAGUGGUGAAAUGCGUAGAGAUCCGGAGGAACGCCGGUGGCGCAAGCGGCCACCUGGGCGUGACCUGACGCUGAGGCGCGAAAGCGUGGGGAGCGAACCGG
rnacentral:rRNA from 1 species